AUAAUUUAAUUUCCAGGAGGAAAAUGUGAGUAUAAUAUGAAAGACAGUUUAAUAAUAGAGAACAGGAGUUCAAAAAGUCAAAAUUGAAAAAAGUAGGAAAGAUUAGGAUAGGGAUACAGGAAAGAUAGAGCUAAUAUGUGUGGGUGUGGGACACCAUGGAGUGGCAGUUGUAGGCAGCCUACUUGGAAUCAUAGGGAUUCUGAGUAAAGUCAAAGGGCAGCAAUUGUCAUAUCUCUUAGAGUAAAAAAAGUAACAUUGAUUUAAUGACCAAUUCUGGAGAAAGAAUUGAUAAAAUAUUACAGUGGUGGAAUUAUACAUGUGCAGUUGCAGGACAGAAGUCCAGUUCCUGGUCCUGCCUGCUAGUAAAGGCAGGGGUCUAUGGUCCUAAGGCCAGGCUGGCUAUAAAAAAUUGAGAAAUGUUUAAAGUACUUACCCUCAUUCAGAUCAUCUCUGCCCUAGGACUCAUUCUAAUGCUGAAUAGAUUAUCUCCCUCACAGUGGGAUAGAUAGAAAUCUAAAAUAGGUUCCUGGGACCUAGAUGUAGCAUGGCAUUGUUGUAAAUGUUUUAAAGGAAAAAUACAGACAGAACUGUCUAGGAAAAGUUGAAAAGGGGGAAACACUUGCAAUUGGGGAUGAAAGGGAUGUAACUACAAUUUCAUGGAAGAGGUGGUCAAGGAAAUUUAGGACAAGUGGUCAGCUAAGUGAUGGUCAGCUAAAUAGUCAGGGCUGGAGCUGUAGAAUUUUGGAUUUGAGUCGAUAUGAAGAUUUCAGCAGAUUGCCUGCAACUCCAGAUGAGUUCGCAAACAAUGAAUUUUUUGGUCUGGCACAUGGAUCUCCCUUUAGCAGUCAUCUACUAACCAAACACUGGAUCAGCACCUACUGGAAAAUAUUCAGGCCCAGAAUCUGAACUUGAAUUACACACUGAACAGCUUUCAGGUCUCUCCAUGUUCAGGAACAUGUUUGCCAGAAAACCUCCCUUUAAUUUGCAGAGGUCUUCACUGCACAGCUGAACAGCUGCAUAAGGGGAGAUUAUGGGCCAUCAAAAGCCAGAAGGAGCAUUCCAGGAAGAAGGAAGUUGAAGAGGAAAAGGAUGAUUUGGUUUGGGGAUACUGUUGGAAAAAUACUGUUGAGAGCUUCUGGAGGGAGAUGUCCAUAUUCAGUCAGCCAGCGUAUCCUGCGAAAUUGAUACCUCUGAACGAGUCAAUCCAAUAGAGCCCAGACCUGGUGGAAUAGAAAGAUUUAAUCCCCUGAUGUGGAAAUGAACUAAAAAGGGAGAGUAAAAGGGUGUACCUCAAUUCUUGGCUUUUUCCCAUGUUCCUUUUCUUCUAAGCCAGUGAAAUCCACCCACUAUUAUAGAAGAUGAUGAAUAAAGCAGGCCCUUUGGUACA
rnacentral:lncRNA from 1 species